UCUUCGUGGAGUGUAAACUCAUCAAAACAGCCCGAAGAAUUUCAAAAAGUGAGGCACUGAAUGUAGUGUGCCAAACUGAGUACUUAACUGGAUGUCCAAUUUUAGCCUGCAAAGUGAUCCCAGCCAACACCAGAAUUCGUGGAAGGUUCUCAGAGUGGAUCGGCACCCAACUCCAUACAGCAAGAGCCCGUCAUCACGGGCUGUCUUUGCACAAGUUCUCUACAGUCAUCUGCAAAUGAGUAUGAAAACUUUCCAGGGAUUUUAAUUUAGUAGCUAAGUUUCUUACUCAGAGCCAAAAAGCACC
rnacentral:lncRNA from 1 species